CCAAUAGCGUAUAUUAAAGUUGUUGCAGUUAAAAAGCUCGUAGUUGAAUUUCGGGAUCAGACUGUCGGUCGUGCCUCGGUACGCACUGGCAUUAUUGGUUCCUACCUUCUGAAGAACCGCGAUGUCAUUAAUUUGGUGUCGCGGGGAAUCAGGACUGUUACUUUGAAAAAAUUAGAGUGUUUAAAGCAGGCUUACGCUUGAAUACAUUAGCAUGGAAUAAUGAAAUAGGACGUUUGAUUCUAUUUUGUUGGUUUCUAGGAUCGACGUAAUGAUUAAUAGGGAUAGUUGGGGGCAUUAGUAUUCAAUUGUCAGAGGUGAAAUUCUUGGAUUUAUUGAAGACUAACUACUGCGAAAGCAUUUGCCAAGGAUGUUUUCAUUAAUCAAGAACGAAAGUUAGGGGAUCGAAGACGAUCAGAUACCGUCGUAGUCUUAACCAUAAACUAUGCCGACUAGGGAUCAGACGAUGUUAAUUUUUUAAUGACUCGUUUGGCACCUUACG
rnacentral:rRNA from 1 species